rnacentral:rRNA from 1 species
UACGGAGGGUGCGAGCGUUGUUCGGAAUUACUGGGCGUAAAGCGCGUGUAGGCGGCUGCCUAAGUCUGAUGUGAAAGCCCGGGGCUUACCCUCGGAAGUGCAUUGGAAACUGGGCAGCUCGAGUACCGGAGAGGAGGGUGGAAUUCCUGGUGUAGCGGUGAAAUGCGUAGAUAUCAGGAAGAACACCGGUGGCGAAGGCGGCCCUCUGGACGGAUACUGACGCUGAGACGCGAAAGCGUGGGGAGCAAAC